rnacentral:rRNA from 1 species
CGGGUGAGUAAUGCAUAGGAAUCUGCCCAGUAGUGGGGGAUAACGUGGAGAAAUCCACGCUAAUACCGCAUAUGUCCUACGGGACAAAGCAGGGGACCUUCGGGCCUUGCGCUAUUGGAUGAGCCUAUGUCGGAUUAGCUAGUUGGUGGGGUAAAAGCCUACCAAGGCAACGAUCCGUAGCUGGUCUGAGAGGAUGAUCAGCCACACUGGGACUGAGACACGGCCCAG